rnacentral:tRNA from 1 species
UGCCUGGUGGUGUAAUGGUAGCACGAGUGACUCUGGAUCACUUAGUCGAGGUUCGAAUCCUCGCCGGGCAA